AUACGUAGGGAGCGAGCGUUGUCCGGAAUUACUGGGUGUAAAGGGUGCGUAGGCGGGGCAGCAAGUCAGGCGUGAAAUACCGGGGCUCAACUCCGGGGCUGCGCUUGAAACUGUUGUUCUUGAGUGAAGUAGAGGUAAGCGGAAUUCCUAGUGUAGCGGUGAAAUGCGUAGAUAUUAGGAGGAACACCAGUGGCGAAGGCGGCUUACUGGGCUUUAACUGACGCUGAGGCACGAAAGCAUGGGGAGCAAACAGGAUUAGAUACCCUGGUAGUCCAUGCCGUAAACGAUGAUUGCUAGGUGUGGGGGGGACUGACCCCUUCCGUGCCGGAGUUAACACAAUAAGCAAUCCACCUGGGAAGUACGAUCGCAAGAUUGAA
rnacentral:rRNA from 1 species